rnacentral:lncRNA from 13 species
GAGAGAGGGCUCUGAGUGGCAGCUGCUGCUGUCCUGCAGGGCCCUUCACCUGGACUCUGGGCUCAUGGAUAAUUCUUGAUUAAUUUCUUUUCUAGCAUUCUUGGUCUUUUUUUCUCUCUACUUCCCCCACCCUCCAUGCCUUCAAAACUACUUGUCUCCUCCACCAGUAGUUAAAUUUUAAUUAUCCCUUUCUUCAAAAUCUCAUGGUAUUGCAUUUGUUUCACUUACAUAAAUUCUGUUCAAUCUCUGAUUUCAGGCAUCCUGCUACAGGGCGUGCACAGGAGCAGCCUCAGCCCAUGAUCAGAAUCUACCUCCCUCGUUGCUCAUUGGAAUCCUCCAGUUCUUUCCUUAUUUAUUGGAGUCCAUGUUCCAUCACAGAGUUCCUGGGAAGUAAAAUUUUGAAAACCUUAUCUGAAGGCAUGAUUAUACCCUUUCACUUACAUGAUGGUUUGAGCGCCAAUAGGAUUGCAAGUGAAAAACAAUUUUUCACAUUAUAAUUUUAAAGACGCUAUUCAAUUCUUCCAGACUCUUUUGUUGAUGUCAAAAACCUCUUUUUUUUAAAAUUACUUCUUGCUAAGAAGCAAAUCGUCUCAGAUCUUAGUGUGUAAAACAAUUAUUUUUUUAACUGGUUCAGGGGUACAUGUGCAGGUUUCACAUAGGUAAACUCGUGUCAUGGGGAUUUGUUGUGUAGAUUAUUUCAUCACCCAGAUAUUAAGGCUAGUAGUCAUUAUUAUCACUAUUUUUCCUGAUCCUCUACCUCCUCCCACCCUUCAUCCUCCAUCCUCCACCCUCCAAAAGGCCUCAGUAUGUUGUUCCCCUCUGCCUGCCUGUGUGUUUUCUAUCAUUUCACUUCCACUUGUAAGUGUGAACAUGGUAUUUGGAGUUCUGCUCCUGUGUUAGUUUGCUAAAGAUAAUGGCCUCCAGCUCCAUCUAUGAUCCUGCAAAGAACAUGCCUGUGGACGCCACUGAAGCAGCAUCGUUAGAGUCUCUCUUCUCCCUGUGAUCAUGUCUAAGUCAGAGUCUCCUAAAGAGCCGGAACAGCUGAGGAAGCUCUUCAUUGGAGGGUUGAGCUUUGAAACAAUCGAUGAGAGC